rnacentral:rRNA from 1 species
CAGUCGAACGAAGCACUUUGAUCGAUUUCUUCGGAUUGAAAUUUUAGUGACUGCGUGGCGGACGGGUGAGUAACGCGUGGGUAACCUGCCUCACACAGGGGGAUAACAGUUGGAAACGGCUGCUAAUACCGCAUAAGCGCACAGUACCGCAUGGUACAGUGUGAAUAACUCCGGUGGUGUGAGAUGGACCCGCGUCUGAUUAGCUAGUUGGCAGGGCAACGGCCUACCAAGGCGACGAUCAGUAGCCGACCUGAGAGGGUGACCGGCCACAUUGGGACUGAGACACGGCCCAAACUCCUACGGGAGGCAGCAGUGGGGAAUAUUGCACAAUGGGGGAAACCCUGAUGCAGCGACGCCGCGUGAGCGAAGAAGUAUUUCGGUAUGUAAAGCUCUAUCAGCAGGGAAGAAGAAAUGACGGUACCUGACUAAGAAGCACCGGCUAAAUACGUGCCAGCAGCCGCGGUAAUACGUAUGGUGCAAGCGUUAUCCGGAUUUACUGGGUGUAAAGGGAGCGCAGGCGGAAGGCUAAGUCUGAUGUGAAAGCCCGGGGCUCAACCCCGGUACUGCAUUGGAAACUGGUCAUCUAGAGUGUCGGAGGGGUAAGUGGAAUUCCUAGUGUAGCGGUGAAAUGCGUAGAUAUUAGGAGGAACACCAGUGGCGAAGGCGGCUUACUGGACGAUAACUGAC